rnacentral:rRNA from 1 species
AUUGAACGCUGGCGGCAGGCCUAACACAUGCAAGUCGUGCGGAUGAAGGGAGCUUGCUCCUGGAUUCAGCGGCGGACGGGUGAGUAAUGCCUAGGAAUCUGCCUGGUAGUGGGGGAUAACGUCCGGAAACGGGCGCUAAUACCGCAUACGUCCUGAGGGAGAAAGUGGGGGAUCUUCGGACCUCACGCUAUCAGAUGAGCCUAGGUCGGAUUAGCUAGUUGGUGGGGUAAAGGCCUACCAAGGCGACGAUCCGUAACUGGUCUGAGAGGAUGAUCAGUCACACUGGAACUGAGACACGGUCCAGACUCCUACGGGAGGCAGCAGUGGGGAAUAUUGGACAAUGGGCGAAAGCCUGAUCCAGCCAUGCCGCGUGUGUGAAGAAGGUCUUCGGAUUGUAAAGCACUUUAAGUUGGGAGGAGGGGCAGUAAGUUAAUACCUUGCUGUUUUGACGUUACCAACAGAAUAAGCACCGGCUAACUUCGUG